UGAGCUGGCCGGGUGACCGCGGCGUAUGCGAACCACCCGCGAAUGCGGGCAGGCGCGCGUCGAGGAAAGUCCGGACUCCACAGGGCACGGUGGUUGCUAACAGCAACCCGGAGCGAUCCGCGGGAAAGUGCAACAGAAAGUAGACCGCCACCGGUUUCGGCCGGGGGUAAGGGUGAAAGGGUGCGGUAAGAGCGCACCGGCAUGCGUGGUGACACGUGUGGCCAGGUAAACCCCACCGGGAGCAAGGCAAGAAUCCCUGCCGUAGGUGGCAGGGAUCGUCGGACGCGAUGAGGCUGCCCGCCCAUGUCCGAAGGUAGCUGCUCGAGGCCGCGCGGCAACGCACGGUCCAGAUGGAUGGUCGCCGCUCCGGAGACGGGGCACAGAAUCCGGCUCAUAGGCCGACUCAUUCG
rnacentral:RNase_P_RNA from 1 species